AUGGAAAAGAAAUGCAAAAAAGCAAAAUGGCUGUCUGAGGAGGCCUUACAAAUAGCUGUGAAAAGAAGUGAAGUGAAAAGCAAAGGAGAAAAGGAAAUAUAUAAGCAUCUGAACGCAGAGUUCCAAGGAAUAGCAAGAAGAGAUAAGAAAGCCUUCCUCAGCGAUCAAUGCAAAGAAAUAGAGGAAAACAACAGAAUGGGAAAGACUAGGGAUCUCUUCAAGAAAACUAGAGAUACCAAAGGAACAUUUCAUGCAAACAUGGGCUCAAUAAAGGACAGAGAUGGUAUGGACCUAACAGAAGCAGAAGAUAUUAAGAAGAGGUGGCAAGAAUACACAGAAGAACUGUACAAAAAAGAUCUUCAUGACCCAGAUAAUCACGAUGGUAUGAUCACUCACCUAGAGCCAGACAUCCUGGAAUGUGAAGUCAAGUGGGCCUUAGGAAGCAUCACUACGAACAAAGCUAGUGGAGGUGAUGGAAUUCCAGUUGAGCUAUUUCAAAUCCUGAAAGAUGAUGCUGGGAAAGUGCUGCACUCAAUAUGCCAGCAAAUUUGGAAAAAUCAGCAGGGGCCACAGGACUGGAAAGUGUCAGUUUUCAUUCCAAUCCCAAAGAAAGGCAAUGCCAAAGAAUGCUCAAACUACCGCACAAUUGCACUCAUCUCACACGCUAGUAAAGGAAUGCUCAAAAUUCUCCAAGCCAGGCUUCAGCAGUACAUGAACCGUGAACUUCCAGAUGUUCAAGCUGGUUUUAGAAAAGGCAGAGGAACAAGAGAUCAAAUUGCCAACAUCCGCUGGAUCAUCGAAAAAGCAAGAGAGUUCCACAAAAACAUCUAUUUCUGCUUUAUUGACUAUGCCAAAGCCUUUGACUGUGUGGAUCACAAUAAACUGUGGAAAAUUCUGAAAGAGAUGGGAAUGCCAGACCACCUGACCUGCCUCUUGGAAACCUAUAUGCAGGUCAGGAAGCAACAGUUAGAACUGGAUAUGGAACAACAGACUGGUUCCAAGUAG
rnacentral:lncRNA from 2 species